UACGUAGGGGGCAAGCGUUGUCCGGAAUCAUUGGGCGUAAAGCGCGUGUAGGCGGGUCGUUAAGUCUGCUCUGAAAGUCCAAGGCUCAACCUUGGGAUGCGGGUGGAUACUGGCGACCUUGAGUCCGGAAGAGGCGAGUGGAAUUCCUGGUGUAGCGGUGAAAUGCGCAGAUAUCAGGAGGAACACCAAUGGCGAAGGCAGGUCUCUGGGCAUUAACUGACGCUGAGGAGCGAAAGCAUGGGGAGCGAACAGGA
rnacentral:rRNA from 1 species